rnacentral:ncRNA from 1 species
AAGAGCCGUGUGAGGUGAAAGUCUCAUGCACGGUUCUGAAGACGAGCAGUUUUCGUGAGGGAAUCGCUUAGUUCAAC